UGAGUAACGCGUGAGGAACCUGCCUCAAAGAGGGGGACAACAGUUGGAAACGACUGCUAAUACCGCAUAAGCCCACGGCUCGGCAUCGAGCAGAGGGAAAAGGAGCAAUCCGCUUUGAGAUGGCCUCGCGUCCGAUUAGCUAGUUGGUGAGGUAAUGGCCCACCAAGGCAACGAUCGGUAGCCGGACUGAGAGGUUGAACGGCCACAUUGGGACUGAGACACGGCCCAGACUCCUACGGGAGGCAGCAUG
rnacentral:rRNA from 1 species